rnacentral:rRNA from 1 species
AUUGAACGCUGGCGGCAUGCCUUACACAUGCAAGUCGAACGGUAACAGGUCUUCGGAUGCUGACGAGUGGCGAACGGGUGAGUAAUACAUCGGAACGUGCCCGAUCGUGGGGGAUAACGGAGCGAAAGCUUUGCUAAUACCGCAUACGAUCUACGGAUGAAAGCAGGGGACCGCAAGGCCUUGCGCGGACGGAGCGGCCGAUGGCAGAUUAGGGAGUUGGUGGGAUAAAAGCUUACCAAGCCGACGAUCUGUAGCUGGUCUGAGAGGACGACCAGCCACACUGGGACUGAGCCACGGCCCAGACUCCUACGGGAGGCAGCAGUGGGGAAUUUUGGACAAUGGGCGCAAGCCUGAUCCAGCCAUGCCGCGUGCAGGAUGAAGGCCUUCGGGUUGUAAACUGCUUUUGUACGGAACGAAAAGACUCUGGUUAAUACCUGGGGUCCAUGACGGUACCGUAAGAAUAAGCACCGGCUAACUACGUGCCAGCAGCCGCAGUAACAC